rnacentral:rRNA from 1 species
CCUACGGGAGGCAGCAGUGGGGAAUAUUGCACAAUGGGGGAAACCCUGAUGCAGCGACGCCGCGUGAGUGAAGAAGUAUUUCGGUAUGUAAAGCUCUAUCAGCAGGGAAGAAAAUGACGGUAUCUGAUGAAGAAGCACCGGCUAACUACGUGCCAGCAGCCGCGGUAAUACGUAGGGGGCAAGCGUUAUUCGGAUUUACUGGGUGUAAAGGGAGUGUAGGCGGGAGCACAAGUCUGGUGUGAAAUGCCGUGGCUUAACCAUGGAACUGCAUUGGAAACUGUGCAGCUAGAGUGUAGGAGAGGUAAGUGGAAUUCCUGGUGUAGGGGUAAAAUUCGUAGAGAUUAGGAGGAACACUAGUGGCGAAGGCGGCUUACUGGACUGUAACUGACGUUGAGGCUCGAAAGCGUGGGGAGCAAACAGGAUUAGAUACCCCAGUAGUC